rnacentral:rRNA from 1 species
GAUGAACGCUGGCGGCGUGCCUAAUACAUGCAAGUCGAGCGAACGGACGAGAAGCUUGCUUCUCUGAUGUUAGCGGCGGACGGGUGAGUAACACGUGGAUAACCCACCUAUAAGACUGGGAUAACUUCGGGAAACCGGAGCUAAUACCGGAGAAUAUUUUGAACCGCAUGGUUCAAAAGUGAAAGACGGUCUUGCUGUCACUUAUAGAUGGAUCCGCGCUGCAUUAGCUAGUUGGUAAGGUAACGGCUUACCAAGGCAACGAUGCAUAGCCGACCUGAGAGGGUGAUCGGCCACACUGGAACUGAGACACGGUCCAGACUCCUACGGGAGGCAGCAGUAGGGAAUCUUCCGCAAUGGGCGAAAGCCUGACGGAGCAACGCCGCGUGAGUGAUGAAGGUCUUCGGAUCGUAAAACCCUGUUAUUAGGGAAGAACAUAUGUGUAAGUAACUGUGCACAUCUUGACGGUACCUAAUCAGAAAGCCACGGCUAACUACGUG